GAUGAACGCUGGCGGCGUGCUUAACACAUGCAAGUCGAACGAAGCACUUUAUUUGAUUUCCUUCGGGACUGAUUAUUUUGUGACUGAGUGGCGGACGGGGGAGUAACGCGUGGGUAGCCUGCCUUGUACAGGGGGAGAACAGUUGGAAACGGUUGCUAAUACCGCAUAAGCGCGCGGCAUCGCAUGCUGCAGUGUGAAAAACUCCGGUGGUAUAAGAUGGACGCGCGUUGGAUUAGCUAGUUGGUGAGGUAACGGCCCACCAAGGCGACGAUCCAUAGCCGAGCUGAGAGGGUGACCGGACACAUUGGGACUGAGACACAGCCCAGAAUCCUACGGGAGGCGGCAGUGGGGAAUAUUGCACAAUGGGCGAAAGCAUGAUGCAGCGACGCCGCGUGAGCGAAGAAGUAUUUCGGUAUGUAAAGCUCUAUCAGCAGGGAAGAUAAUGACGGUACCUGACUAAGAAGCACCGGCUAAAUACGUG
rnacentral:rRNA from 1 species